rnacentral:misc_RNA from 1 species
GUGAAAUCUUCUGGCCACAGGCUCUCUCCCCUUCUUGAUGCAAUCACUUAAUUCUCUAUGUAUCAAACAAUGGGAGCCUGCACAUUUUAACUCUGAGAUUGAUUUUACAAUUCCUGAAGUAGAUUCAAGUCUGACCUCAUUGGAUACUCGAUGCCUUCAAGAUUAGGCAUCCGCUUUAAGUCAUCUUGAGAAUAUGCAGGGAUAAACCAGUACUUCUUAUCCAUUCCGAACACCUGCUCAAAAUUUU